rnacentral:rRNA from 1 species
UCCGGUUGAUCCUGCCGGACCUGACUGCUAUCAGAUUGAUGCUAAGCCAUGUUAGUCAUUGUAGUAAUACAAGGCAGACGGCUCAGUAACACGUAGUCAACCUAACUUAUGGACGGGGAUAACCUCGGGAAACUGGGAAUAAUACCCGAUAGGUCAUGAUGCCUGGAAUGGUUUAUGACUCAAAUGAAUGUCGCCGUAGGAUGGGACUGCGAGCUAUCAGCUUGUUGGUGAGGUAAUGGCCCACCAAGGCUAUAACAGCUACGGGCUCUGAGAGGAGUAGCCCGGAGAUGGGUACUGAGACAAGGACCCAGGCCCUAUGGGGCGCAGCAGGCGAGAAAACUUUGCAAUGCGCGAAAGCUCGACAAGGUUAAUCUGAGUGGUUCCUGCUAAAGGAACCUUUUGUUAGUCGUAGAACCACUAAUGAAUAAGGGGUGGGCAAGUUCUGGUGUCAGCCGCCGCGGUAAAACCAGCACCUCAAGUGGUCAGGAUGAUUAUUGGGCCUAAAGCAUCCGUAGCCUGUUCU